GGACACAUAGCCCAAAUGGCAAGGGCACCACCUUUCUAGCGGAUGGACGCGGGUUCGAUUCCCGUUGGGUCAA
rnacentral:tRNA from 1 species